GAUGAACGCUGGCGGCGUGCCUAAUACAUGCAAGUCGAGCGAACGGACGAGAAGCUUGCUUCUCUGAUGUUAGCGGCGGACGGGUGAGUAACACGUGGAUAACCUACCUAUAAGACUGGGAUAACUUCGGGAAACCGGAGCUAAUACCGGAUAAUAUUUUGAACCGCAUGGUUCAAAAGUGAAAGACGGUCUUGCUGUCACUUAUAGAUGGAUCCGCGCUGCAUUAGCUAGUUGGUAAGGUAACGGCUUACCAAGGCAACGAUGCAUAGCCGACCUGAGAGGGUGAUCGGCCACACUGGACCUGAGACACGGUCCAGACUCCUACGGGAGGCAGCAGUAGGGAAUCUUCCGCAAUGGGCGAAAGCCUGACGGAGCAACGCCGCGUGAGUGGUGAAGGUCUUCGGAUCGUAAAACUCUGUUAUUAGGGAAGAACAUAUGUGUAAGUAACUGUGCACAUCUUGACGGUACCUAAUCAGAAAGCCACGGCUAACUACGUG
rnacentral:rRNA from 1 species